rnacentral:rRNA from 1 species
AACGUGGCAGCGCGUAGCGCGACACAGGGGAGCUUGAGUGUCUCUCGGUAUAACCAAGGACUUUUCUCAUUCCUAAAAAGCAUGAGGAAUAAGUGCUGGGUAAGACGGGUGCCAGCCGCCGCGGUAACACCCGCAGCACGAGUAGUGGUCACUUUUAUUGAGCCUAAAGCGUUCGUAGCCGGUUUUGAAAAUCUUCAGAUAAAGCCUGAAGCUUAACUCCAGAAAGUCUGAAGAGACUGCAAGACUUGAGAUCGGGUGAGGUUAAACGUACUUUCAGGGUAGGGGUAAAAUCCUGUAAUCCCGGAAGGACGACCAGUGGCGAAAGCGUUUAACUAGAACGAAUCUGACGGUAAGGAACGAAGGCUAGGGUAGCAAACCGGAUUAGAUACCCGGGUAGUCCUAGCUGUAAACAUUGCCCAUUUGAUGUUGCUUUUCCGUUGAGGGAAGGCAGUGUCGGAGCGAAGGUGUUAAAUGGGCCGCUUGGGAAGUAUGGUCGCAAGACUGAAA